rnacentral:miRNA from 1 species
CACCAAUGACAGGGGCUCAGACUGCAGCCGUGCGUUUGAGAGGACCUGGGAAUCUGCAUUUCUGACAAGUUCCCAGGUGUUGC